rnacentral:rRNA from 1 species
UACGGAGGGGGCUAGCGUUGUUCGGAAUUACUGGGCGUAAAGCGCACGUAGGCGGACUAUUAAGUCAGGGGUGAAAUCCCGGGGCUCAACCCCGGAACUGCCUCUGAUACUGGUAGUCUUGAGUUCGAGAGAGGUGAGUGGAAUUCCGAGUGUAGAGGUGAAAUUCGUAGAUAUUCGGAGGAACACCAGUGGCGAAGGCGGCUCACUGGCUCGAUACUGACGCUGAGGUGCGAGAGCGUGGGGAGCAAACAGG